GACGAACGCUGGCGGCGUGCUUAACACAUGCAAGUCGAACGGAAAGGCCCUGCUUUUGUGGGGUGCUCGAGUGGCGAACGGGUGAGUAACACGUGAGUAACCUGCCCUUGACUUUGGGAUAACUUCAGGAAACUGGGGCUAAUACCGGAUAGGAGCUCCUGCUGCAUGGUGGGGGUUGGAAAGUUUCGGCGGUUGGGGAUGGACUCGCGGCUUAUCAGCUUGUUGGUGGGGUAGUGGCUUACCAAGGCUUUGACGGGUAGCCGGCCUGAGAGGGUGACCGGCCACAUUGGGACUGAGAGACGGCCCAGACUGCUACGGGAGGCAGCAGGGGGGAAUAUUGCACAAUGGGCGGAAGCGUGAUGCAGAAACGCCGCGUGCGGGAUGACGGCCUUCGGGUUGUAAACCGCUUUCGCCUGUAACGAAGCGUGAGUGACGGUAAUGGGUAAAGAAGCAACGGCUAACUACGUG
rnacentral:rRNA from 1 species